rnacentral:misc_RNA from 1 species
ACCGAAGCCAGUAGCCGCUCACUUCGGGGAGCGUGACGGGUGGCUGGUAUCCUUCCACCGAGGGUUGUAUGGCGUAGCGUGGGCCGGCCUUCGGGUCGCGAAUUCCCACUGCUGCGGCGGACCAUCCCUUGGGCAAACCAGUGGGAGCAAUUGGAUGGCCCGCGGAUGCCUCCCGGNGGCUUCGGCCUCGGGAGGCCGCCCGGGCCGGGCGCUGGGUUUCUUCCCAUGCCCCGACCCCUGAACUAACCCUGACCUCCUCUUCACUGAGGGUUUCCGGCGGCCGCUCGUUCUUCGGGAUUAGCGGCUUCCCGGUCAAGAUAGUUACCUGGUUGAUUCUGCCAGUAGUCAUAUGCUUGUCUCAA